rnacentral:rRNA from 1 species
ACCGGUUGAUCCUGCCGGAGGCUACCGCUAUUGGAAUCUGAUUAAGCCAUGCGAGUUGAAAGGGUUUAGACCCUUAGCGGACGGCUCAGUAACACGUGGAGAACCUGCCCUCAGGUGGGGGAUAAUCCCGGGAAACUGGGAAUAAUACCCCAUAGGUCUCGGCUGCUGGAAUGCUUCGAGGCCGAAAGCUACGGCGCCUGAGGAUGGCUCUGCGGCCUAUCAGGUAGUAGUGAGGGUAACGUCCUCACUAGCCGAUGACGGGUACGGGCGUUGAAAGACGGAGCCCGGAGAUGGACUCUGAGACACGAGUCCAGGCCCUACGGGGCGCAGCAGGCGCGAAACCUUCGCAAUGCUCGAAAGAGUGACGAGGGGAUUCCAAGUGCCUACGCUCAGCGUAGGCUGUUCAGAUGCCUAAAAAGCAUCUGGAGGAAGGACUGGGUAAGACGGGUGCCAGCCGCCGCGGUAAUACCCGCAGUCCGAGUGGUAGUCGAUUUUAUUGGGCCUAAAGCGUCCGUAGCCGGUCUGGAAAAUGCCUGGGUAAAUCGUCUGGCUCAACCAAACGAAUUCCGGGUAGACUACCAGACUUGGGACCGGUUGAGGGAGAGGGUACUUCAGGGGUAGGAGUGAAAUCCUGUAAUCCCUGAAGGACCACCGGUGGCGAAGGCGCUCUCCCAGAACGGGUCCGACGGUGAGGGACGAAAGCCAGGGGAGCAAACCGGAUUAGAUACCCGGGUAGUCCUGGCCGUAAACGAUGCGGGCUUUGCAUUGGGGGUCCUACGAGGGCGCUCAGUGCCGAAGCGAAGGCGUUAAGCCCGCCGCCUGGGAAGUAUGGUCGCAAGGCUGAAACUUAAAGGAAUUGGCGGGGGAGCACCGCAAUGGGAGGAGCGUGCGGUUUAAUUGGAUUCAACGCCGGAAAACUCACCGGGGGCGACUGUCACAUGUGGGUCAGGCUGAAGACCUUACCCGAAUAAAAGACAGAGAGGUGGUGCAUGGCCGCCGUCAGCUCGUACCGUAAGGCGUUCUGUUAAGUCAGAUAACGAGCGAGACUCCUGCUCUUAGUUGCUAUCUCGGAGUCCGCUCCGGGAGCACACUAACAGGACCGCUGGUGAUAAACCAGAGGAAGGAGGGGGCAACGGUAGGUCAGUAUGCCCUGAAUCCCCCGGGCUACACGCGCGCUACAAAGGCCGAGACAAUGGGUUGCGACCCCGAAAGGGGAAGCUAAUCUCAAAACUCGGUCCUAGUUCGGAUUGAGGGCUGUAACUUGCCCUCAUGAAGCUGGAUUCCAUAGUAAUCGCGGAUCAACAUUCCGCGGUGAAUAUGCCCCUGCUCCUUGCACACACCGCCCGUCAAGCCAGGCGAGUUGGGUUUGGGUGAGGGUCUGUUGUCAUGGCAGAUUCAAACCCAUGCUCAGCAAGCGGGGCUAAGUCGUAACAAGGUAUCCGUA